AAAUCCCUGAGUGUUAGUGUUUUGUUGUGUUCCCAAUCCAAAAUCCCCGAAGCUUGUCCAUCCUUCAUGCUCACCUGCACUGUCGUGCUCAUCCCUACACUGUUGCUGUUGGGACUCGAUAUGUGAAUAAUAUGGUUGGGAUAGGGUGGCCUCAGAAUCAUCAUCUCACUCAUUUUCUCUUAGACCCCCUUCCCACUCUCCCUCAUUAGGUGCAAUAUCACCAACAUCUCCGACGAAUUGUGGAUACGUUGGCUGACUGCUUCUUCUUUCA
rnacentral:lncRNA from 1 species